rnacentral:rRNA from 1 species
GCAUAACGCGAAGAACCUUACCUAAACUUGACAUCCCUUAGACCGUUCCUUAAUCGGAGCUUUCCCUUCGGGGACUGAGGUGACAGGUGGUGCAUGGUUGUCGUCAGCUCGUGUCGUGAGAUGUUGGGUUAAGUCCCGCAACGAGCGCAACCCUUGCCUUUAGUUGCCAUCAUUAAGUUGGGCACUCUAGAGGGACUGCCGAGGAUAACUCGGAGGAAGGUGAGGAUGACGUCAAAUCAUCAUGCCCCUUAUGUUUAGGGCUACACACGUGCUACAAUGGCUGGUACAGAGGGCUGCGAAACCGUGAGGUUAAGCCAAUCCCUUAAAGCCAGUCUCAGUUCGGAUUGUAGGCUGAAACUCGCCUACAUGAAGCUGGAGUUGCUAGUAAUCGCGGAUCAGAAUGCCGCGGUGAAUGCGUUCCCGGGUCUUGUACACACCG